rnacentral:rRNA from 1 species
CCUACGGGAGGCAGCAGUGAGGAAUAUUGGUCAAUGGACGAGAGUCUGAACCAGCCAAGUAGCGUGAAUGAUGACUGCCCUCUGGGUUGUAAACUUCUUUUAUAUGGGAAUAAAAUGUUCCACGUGUGGGAUUUUGUCUGUACCAUAUGAAUAAGGAUCGGCUAACUCCGUGCCAGCAGCCGCGGUAAUACGGAGGAUCCGAGCGUUAUCCGGAUUUAUUGGGUUUAAAGGGAGCGUAGGUGGAUUGUUAAGUCAGUUGUGAAAGUUUGCGGCUCAACCGUAAAAUUGCAGUUGAAACUGGCAGUCUUGAGUACAGUAGAGGUGGGCGGAAUUCGUGGUGUAGCGGUGAAAUGCUUAGAUAUCACGAAGAACUCCGAUUGCGAAGGCAGUUCACUGGACUGCAACUGACACUGAGGCUCGAAAGUGUGGGUAUCAAACAGGAUUAGAUACCCGGGUAGUC